rnacentral:rRNA from 2 species
UACGUAGGUGGCAAGCGUUGUCCGGAUUUACUGGGCGUAAAGAGCGCGCAGGCGGUCGUGCAAGUCGAGUGUGAAAGCCCCCGGCUCAACUGGGGAGGGUCACUCGAUACUGCUCGACUUGAAGGCGGAAGAGGGAAGCAGAACUCCCGGUGUAGUGGUGAAAUGCGUAGAUAUCGGGAAGAAUACCAGUGGCGAAGGCGGCUUCCUGGUCCGUUCUUGACGCUGAGGCGCGAAAGCUAGGGGAGCGAACGGG